GAUGAACGCUGGCGGCGUGCCUUAUACAUGCAAGUCGAGCGAAAAGACGAGUAGCUUUCCUCUCUGACGUUAGCGGCGGACGUGUGAGUAACACGCGUAUCACCUACCUAUAAGAAUCGGAUAACUUCGUUAACUCGUAGCUCAUACCGGCUACUAUAUUGAACAGCAUGCCUCAAUACUUAACGCCGGCUUUGCUGCCGCUUAUAGAUGGAUCCGCGCCGGAUUAGCUAGUUGGUCAGGUAACGGCUUACCAAGGCGACGAUGCGUAGCCGGCCUGAGAGGGUGACCAGCCACACUGGAACUGAGACACGGUCCAGACUCCUACGGGAGGCAGCAGUAGGGAAUCUUCGGCAAUGGGCGAAAGCCUGACGGAGCAACGCCGCGUGAGUGAUGAAGGUCUUCGGAUCGUAAAACGCUGUUAUUAGGGAAGAACAAAUGUGUAAGUAACUAGGCACGUCUUGACGGUACCUAAACAGAAAGCCACGGCUAACUACGUG
rnacentral:rRNA from 1 species